GAGGGCAUAGCUCAGUGGUAGAGUGUGUGCUAGGCAUGCACAAGGUCCUGAGUUCAAUUCCUAGUCCCUCU
rnacentral:tRNA from 1 species